AAUCUUGCGCAAUGGGCGAAAGCCUGACGCAGCGACGCCGCGUGAGUGAAGAAGGCCUUCGGGUUGUAAAACUCUGUCCUCAGGGAAGAAGCAAGUGACGGUACCUGAGGAGGAAGCCCCGGCUAACUACGUGCCAGCAGCCGCGGUAAUACGUAGGGGGCGAGCGUUGUCCGGAAUCACUGGGCGUAAAGCGUGCGCAGGCGGUUCGGCAAGAAGGAUGUGAAAUCCCGGGGCUUAACCUCGGAACUGCAUUCUUAACUGCCGGGCUAGAGUAUGUCAGAGGGGGGUAGAAUUCCGCGUGUAGCAGUGAAAUGCGUAGAGAUGCGGAGGAAUACCGAUGGCGAAGGCAGCCCCCUGGGAUAAUACUGACGCUCAUGCACGAAAGCGUGGGGAGCAAAC
rnacentral:rRNA from 1 species